rnacentral:rRNA from 1 species
GAUGAACGCUAGCGGCAGGCCUAAUACAUGCAAGACGAACGGUAAGUUGAGUAGCAAUACUUAGCCAAGAGUGUCGUACGGGUGCGUAACACGUAUGCAACCUACCCUAUACAGGAGGAUAGCCUAGGGAAACCUGGAUUAAACCCUUCAUAGUAUUAUUGGAUGGCAUCAUUUGAUAAUUAAAACUGAGGUGGUAUAGGAUGGGCAUGCGUCUGAUUAGUUAGUUGGCGGGGUAAUGGCCCACCAAGACGAUGAUCAGUAGGGGGUUCUGAGAGGAAGAUCCCCCACACUGGCACUGAGAUACGGGCCAGACUCCUACGGGAGGCAGCAGUAGGGAAUAUUGGUCAAUGGAUGCAAGUCUGAACCAGCCAUGCCGCGUGCAGGAAGAAGGCCUUCUGGGUUGUAAACUGCUUUUGUCCAGGGGGAAGUAAAAAUUUCCAUGCGUGGAAAACUGAAGGUACC